UUAUACUAAAUAUACCAAACAAAGGACAGAAGGUACCUGUGUAUAUUUUGAGUACAAGAAACACAGCAUAUCUUGAUACUAGUUUUAUUUAUGCUCUGGACUUUGAAGGAAACAUGAUGAAAGUCGAUGUAUCAAAGAAUUUAUUUAGACACUGUCUAUGUGCUAAUUCCACCGAGUCCGUCAUUGCUAAAUCAGUACCCGACAAGUUUGGAAAUUAUAAUGAAACCACCUUCCAGAUUAAUAUUAUCGAUAGAUUCGAGCCAGUUUUCCACAACUGUCCACAAAAUAGGGUUAUACAAUCAAAUGACAUGUUUGGAUGGACAGCUCCUACCGUUACUGAUAAUGUUGGUGUGCAAGAAAUUGAUGGACCCGUCUUACCACAAAGAAACAAAACCAAUCUAGUGCCCGGGACUUACACCAUGAUCUAUAAAGCCAAAGACUGGUCAAAUAAUACUGCAACAUGCUCGUUUACAAUAAGAGUCAUGGAGCCACCAGACGUGACUCCAAGGCCGAAGCAUGAGCAUAAAAUAAGUAUUACCUUACUGUUAAUUAUUGGUGGAAGCUUAGUAGCUCUCGUAGUGAUCGCAUUAGUAGCGUUUUAUGUAUCCACUAUGUGUCGUUUAGUGAAGACAUAUUCUGUAAACGAGAAAAAGAAGCUACCCUCUAACCAACAUGGACACAUUUACGGAUCAGUGAAAGAUGAUAAUAAAUUAUAAAAGAGUAUUGAAUUAAGUAGGCAGCAGAAGACGAAAGGGAAGAUAAUUCAGGAGGGAAAUGACCAUGACAUAAUGUUAAGGCAUCAAUAAUAAUUACUUUAAUCCCAGUAUUAAGAACACAUGUACUCACUAAAAUGAUAAAUAAGCUGUUUAACAUUUGUAUAAAAUAAGUGUAUACAAUUACUAAUUCUAGUAUGAGACAAUAAAAUAACAGGAAUAUUGAUAAAAGGAAACAUCUUAAACUAAAUUUUUAUUUUAUUAAAUUUUAUAUAAUGUCAAUUGGAAAAAUUUGAAAUCAGUGAAACUGAAAGAAAAGUUUCAGUUCAGUUCCUGUAUUACUACUUGGAAGUGUAGUUUAAACUUUUACUCUAUUUAGCUUCAAAUAUGACCUCCCUCUGGUAUUUUCCUUUCGAAUUUUUUUUCCUACAUUGGUACUUUGAAGUGCAAAACUUAACCUGUAUUAUAAAGAAAUAUAAAAACAACUUAAGGUUACAAACACCAUAGGCACAAUCAGCUAUUUUUUAGGGACAUAUGCUUAUGUAGUUUACCAGGCAUUUAUACAUCACUGACAAUGCUAUCGUUUGACUCUGAAUGUUCCUGAUGAAGGUAUAUCGAAACUUUAAGGAAUAAAGUAGUUUUACAUUUUCCCGGCUUUAGGUUGGCUUUUGGUGUACACAAGGCAGAUGAAGGAAGUCAACUUUGGAGCGCUGUCACGGUGAUUGAAUGUAUGGAUAUAUAUAUUUUUUUUAUCUAUUUAUGAAUAACUGCAGUUUAUAUUUUUUUUACAAUAAAUAUUUUGA